CCAGCAGCCGCGGUAAUUCCAGCUCCAAUAGCGUAUAUUAACGUUGUUGCAGUUAAAAGGCUCGUAGUCGAAUUUGUGGCCGCGCAGCAAUUGCCCGGCGUCUAGUACGUCGCGCGCUUUUGUUUGCGGGUCAUCCGUCCGGAGAGUCCGUUGCCCUUGAUUGGGUUGGCGGGCGGUCUGGACCGUUUACUGUGAGUAAAUCAAAGUGUUCAAGGCAGGCGUUUCGCUGUGAAUGCUCUAGCAUGGAAUAAUACUAUAGGACUUGCGUCCUGUUGAUUGGCUUUAGGACGAAAGUAAUGAUUGAAAGGGAUAGUUGGGGGUGCUAGUAUUUAGCGGUAAGCGGU
rnacentral:rRNA from 1 species